AGAGAGUUAAAUAGUACAUAUGAGGCAUGGAAAGAUUAUUAUUAUUAUUUUUUUAUGCAUGGGAGUCUAUAGAAAAUAAUUAUUCUUUUAUAAAAUAGUUAUUCUUUUAUAAAAGAUUAAGUUAUUAGAAAAUGAUACUAUUAAUAGUUACAUUUAACACUCACUCUUACGUCUAGUUGGAAGUUUGGGAGAUUCAAAUUUAAAUUUUUUAACUCUCAUGUUAAGGGUAAACUUUAAAUACCUCUAUGUGAUUUCACACUUUCUCACUUUAGUACCCUGUGGUUUAAAAUGUAUCAAGUUAGCUCCCGUGGUUUCGCACUUUCUCACUUUAGUAUACUGUGGUUCAAAGUAUAUCAAAUUAAUACCCUGUGGGUUUUUUUUUCUCUCUUUUUAUUAUCUAUUUCAUUAAUUUUUUUCGCUAAAUCGGUGAUAAAGUUAAAAGUAAAAGGUACUAAAGUGAAUAUUCGAUAAACCUAGCUAAGAUAUCUAAAGUUUUAAGUAUAUAAUUUAAUAAAAUAUUAACGAAGGAAAAAAAUUAGUGAUAAAGUUAAAACAAAAAGAUACUAAAGUAAAUAUUCGAUAAACUUAGGUAAGGUAUGUGAAGUUUUUUGUAUAUAAUUUAACGAAAUAUUAACAGAAUAGCCGACGAAAAGAAACAUAUGAAACCAAAGAGUACUAAAUUGAAGCACUUUAAGGCACAUGGUACUAAAAUGAGAAAGUAUGAAACCACAGGGUAUUAAAUUGAUAUACUUUAUACUAUACGAUACUAAACUAAAUUUUUUUUUUUAAAUUAUAU
rnacentral:lncRNA from 1 species